rnacentral:rRNA from 1 species
GGACUACUGGGGUAUCUAAUCCCAUUUGCUCCCCUGGCUUUCGUUCCUCAGCGUCAGUUACGGCCCAGUAAGUCGCCUACGCCACCGGUGUUCUUCCUGAUAUCUACGCAUUUCACCGCUACACCAGAAAUUCCACUUACCUCUACCGCACUCAAGUCUGCCAGUAUCCAGUGCAGCCCCGGGGUUGAGCCCCGAUUUUUAACACCAGACUUAACAAACCGCCUACGAACUCUUUACGCCCAAUAAAUCCGGACAACGCUUGCAUCCUACGUCUUACCGCGGCUGCUGGCAC